GCCAAUGUAGCUUAUUUAAAGCAUGACACUGAAGAUGUUAAGAUGAGCCCUAAAAAGCCCCGUGGGCA
rnacentral:tRNA from 1 species